AUGCCAACCUCAGGCUCCACCUUCAAGAGAGCCUCCUUUCAAGAAAUGUUCCAGAGAAUUCUCCUCCUGACUCCUCCUGAGUUCUCUUUCCACAGCCUCCUUCAAGACCUCUCCAGGAGCUCUCCCUCCAGCACGCCAACCUCAGGCUCCACCUUCAAGAGAGCCUCCUUUCAAGAAAUGUUCCAGAGAAUUCUCCUCCUGACUCCUCCUGAGUUCUCUUUCCACAGCCUCCUUCAAGACCUCUCCAGGAGCUCUCCCUCCAGCACCUCUCUCCUCUCAGACUCCUUCAGAGCAAAACCUCUCAGAGCAAAAAACUCUCCUCCCCCUGUCCUCAGACCCCACUAUCUUUAAGGAAACCAUCUAAGUUCCCUCCCCUCAGUUCUCACAUCUACCAAUCACUGUCGAUGUCUCCCCUGUGCCAAUGGUGGCUCUAGUUUAACCCAGGACCGCCCAGAGGUCUGUGGCUUUGCACAUGUCUGUUGAAGGUCAUAUUCUCAAAUAAUUAAAUCUUGAUCUAUGCUGCAGCCCUUCCUAAAUCCUGUUACUCUAAGUAGGGUGGAGAGUGUAUUUUCCAAGACCUGGUUCUGUCAUUCCAAGUAUCUCUAUUGUAUCAAUUCUAAAAUCAAUCAUGACUCAAAGAACUUCCUGUUCUAUGCUUAAGCAUAGGUCAAAGCCCUUUCCAUUGUUUAGCAAAAGGUUUCUGUCCUAAAGUAGUCUUAAGUAGGGAGGAGAAGGAUCCUCCCAUGCCAAGGGGUUUCACAUUCCAAUAGAGUUCUUACUAUCAGUAGGAAAUUUUUUCCAAGUUUGAAAUUUCCCAAUGGUGAAAUUUCCAACAUUCAUAAGUCUAAGAAAUUUUAUGGUUUACAGAUAAAAUGAUGCAAAGUAAAGUGAGCAGAACCAGGAGAAUGUUGUAUUCACAACAAUGUGAAUGACUUAACAUACUAACAUGGUAAGGAUCCAGGACAACUCCAAGAGACUCAGGACAUAAAAUAAAAAAUUUAAAAAAA
rnacentral:lncRNA from 1 species